rnacentral:lncRNA from 10 species
GAAAUUGUUAUUCCCAUUUUACAAAGGAAGAAACUGAGGCUCAGGGGUUUACAUAAGUUGCCCAAGAUGAUAUAACUAGUAAGGACACAGCUAGGAGUAAAACCCAGGCCUGCAGAGGUCCUAUAGACAUAAUCUUUGCAUUACACAGAGCCCUGGCCACAGCUACCUCCUAGUCCUAAUGUUCUGCAAGUCUUGCUUUUUAAGCUCUGUUUUUGUUUUGGUUUUGGUUUGUUUUUUGGGUUUUUUUUAGACAGAGUCUUGCUCUAUUGCCCAGGCUGGAGUGCAGUCAUUUUACUAUCCUCUUUUGUUAAGUGUCUGUUCAAGUAUUUUGCCUGUUUAUCUACUGGGCUGCCUGCCUUUUUCUUACUGAUUUGUAAGAGACUUUUGUUUUUUUAAAAAAGUCUGGAGACCAGUUCUCUGGUGGUUUUGUGUUGUGAAUAUCUUCUUUGGUAUUCACGCACAUCUCUUUAAAGCUCACAACAACUCCGAGAAAUAAAUACUUUAAUGUCUAUGAACAGAACAAUCUUAGAGAAGUUGGGUGGCUUGUUCAAGGUCACUGAGCUAGUUAGCACAAGAGGUGGGAAAUCAAACUCAGAUCUGCUCAGCUUGAAAGACUGGCUCUUAAGCAUUCAGCCAUACUGGGAACAGAGGUCAUCCAUCCCUCUCUAGCGCUAUAUGGGUCUUCAGCCCCUUCUCCUGCACCUGCUUCUCUCUUCUCUCCUUGUUUCCUUGUGACUUUAACUUACGACUUCCAUUUCCUGCCCUCUCCUUGUGUGGCCUUUCUUCUGACUCCCCAGCUCCAAACAUUGCCACUCACUUGGGUUCUCCUUCAAACUCCAUGAAGGACAUCUCAUCAGCUCCAUUUGGCACUGCCCCUUCAUGGGCAGGCUUUCACUCCAGACCACGUUAUGGCCACGGCUCAGGUACUUUCCCACUCCAAUCAGCUGUGGCCAGGGUGGCAGAAUCCCAUGGUCAGCCUGCCUUUGAUAGAGCUGCGGGUUUAUAACAUAAAGGGGUAUUUUAUUUAAAAUAUAAAGAGCUUUCACAAUUCAUUAAGAGAAAGGUGAACACUCUAAAAGAAAGGUAGGCAAUUUACAAAAAAAUGAAAUACAAAUCAUCAAUAAGCAGAGAUACAACUGAAACAAGCUGGAGAUGAAAUUCUCUCCUCAGACUGAAAGAUGAAAAAGAAUCAUCCAUACAGCACCUAUGAGGCCAUGAGGAAAUGGGAAUUCUCAUACACCCUGGCAAAGUUUGGCAAUUUCAAAAUUGUAAAUGUGCAUCCACUUUGACUUGGCAAUUCCAUUUACAGAAAAGCAUCCUAAAGAAAUAAUCAUAGGCUGGGCACUGUGGCUCAAACCUGUAAUCCCAGCACUUUGGGAGGCUGAGGUAGGUGGAUUACCUGGGGUCAGGAGUUAGAGGCUAGCCUGGCCAACAUGGUGAAACCCUGUCUCUACUAAAAUUACAAAAAAAUAAAAAAUAAAAAAUUAGCCAGACGUGGUGGCAGGCACUUGUAGUCCCAGCUACUUGGGAGGCUGAGGCAGGGGAACAGCUUGAACCCAGGAAGCGGAGGUUGCAGUGAGCCUGGGCAACAGAACAAGACUCCAU